rnacentral:rRNA from 1 species
UAAGACGAGCUCUCCAAACGUUAUUCGGUAUUACUGGGCUUAAAGAGUUCGUAGGCGGUCUUGUAGGUGAGGUGUGAAAGCCCUCGGCUUAACCGAGGAAUUGCGCUUCAAACCACAAGGCUUGAGGGAGGUAGGGGUAUGCGGAACAGAUGGUGGAGCGGUGAAAUGCGUUGAUAUCAUCUGGAACACCGGUGGCGAAAGCGGCAUACUGGACCUUUUCUGACGCUGAGGAACGAAAGCUAGGGUAGCGAACGGG